GUGUGUACGAUCGAGGCAUUGCUCGCUCGCAGGAAUCGGACGAGCGCAGGAAGUGUGCGCAUGACAU
rnacentral:sRNA from 1 species